rnacentral:rRNA from 1 species
AACGAACGCUGGCGGCGCGCCUAAUACAUGCAAGUCGAGCGAGAAGACGUAGCAAUACGUUUGUAAAGCGGCGAACGGGUGAGGAAUACAUGGGUAACCUACCCUCGAGUGGGGAAUAACUAGCCGAAAGGUUAGCUAAUACCGCGUACGCUCCUUGGACUUCGGUUCAGGGAGGAAAGCGAUACCGCGGGUAUCGCGCUCUUGGAUGGGCUCAUGUCCUAUCAGCUUGUUGGUGAGGUAACGGCUCACCGAGGCUUCGACGGGUAGCUGGUCUGAGAGGACGAUCGGCCACACUGGGACUGAGAGUACGGCCCAGACUCCUACGGGAGCAGCAGUGAGGAAUAUUGGUCAAUGGACGAAAGUCUGAACCAGCAACGCCGCGUGAGGGAU